CAGUUUGAUCCUGGCUCAGAAUCAACGCUGGCGGCGUGCCUAACACAUGCAAGUCGAACGAGAAAGGGUAGCAAUACCUGAGUAAAGUGGCGCACGGGUGAGUAACACGUGACUAACCUACCCUGGAGUGGGGGAUAACUGAGGGAAACCUUAGCUAAUACCGCAUAACACCUACGGGUCAAAGGAGCAAUUCGCUUCAGGAGGGGGUCGCGGCCGAUUAGUUAGUUGGCGGGGUAAUGGCCCACCAAGACGAUGAUCGGUAUCCGGCCUGAGAGGGCGCACGGACACACUGGAACUGAAACACGGUCCAGACUCCUACGGGAGGCAGCAGUGGGGAAUUUUGCGCAAUGGGGGAAACCCUGACGCAGCAACGCCGCGUGGAGGAUGAAGUCCUUCGGGACGUAAACUCCUUUCGAUCGGGACGAUAAUGACGGUACCGGAAGAAGAAGCCCCGGCUAACUUCGUGCCAGCAGCCGCGGUAAUACGAGGGGGGCGAGCGUUGUUCGGAAUUAUUGGGCGUAAAGGGUGCGUAGGCGGUUUUGUAAGUCUCAUGUGAAAUCUAUGG
rnacentral:rRNA from 1 species